rnacentral:rRNA from 1 species
UACGUAGGGUGCAAGCGUUGUCCGGAAUUAUUGGGCGUAAAGAGCUCGUAGGCGGUCUGUCGCGUCGGCUGUGAAAACCUGAGGCUCAACCUCGGGCCUGCAGUCGAUACGGGCAGACUAGAGUUCGGUAGGGGAGACUGGAAUUCCUGGUGUAGCGGUGGAAUGCGCAGAUAUCAGGAGGAACACCGAUGGCGAAGGCAGAUCUCUGGGCCGUAACUGACGCUGAGGAGCGAAAGCGUGGGGAGCGAACAGG